UCGUUCAAUAUAGUGGAUGUUGCAUACUUGCUCUAAUGUUUGUUUGGGACAUGUGAUGGUGGGCGACAACUCGAUUUAAAGUGGCAAGAGGGAAGAGGCGAUCUACAGAGGGCUUCUCUUAAUUCGUUUCAGUAAAGCCCCAUUUCAGGCAUGGGUGUAAGGUACCUACCGUGAGGUAGCGAUGUAGCAGAUCCAUUUCAUUGUUCUGAGUGUUGUGGUCUCGAAGUGGUCGCUGUCAUAUCUCUUGGCCGACAGUCGUGUGUUCAUAUAUCAUCAUAUGUCAAUCUCACCGUUUAAUUAAUUCAGCCACUGCCUUCAUAUUCUUUGGUUCUUGAACAAAGCUUGCAUCAUUCAGAACCCAAAAGACUUAACAUCAUUUGGGAUUGCAUCAAAUGACUUAUUGAAGUAGAUUUUGAGCAAUUGUCAGAGGUGACGUUGUUUGCUGACACUCUUA
rnacentral:lncRNA from 1 species